GCCGGGUGCAGUGGCGCGCGCCUGUAAUCCAAGCUGCUGGGAGGCUGAGGCUGGCGGAUCGCUUGAGUUCAGGGGUUCUGGGCUGCAGUGGACUAUGUCGAUCGGGUGUCCGCGCUAAGUUCGGUAUCGAUAUGGUGCUCCUGGGGGAGCUCGGGACCACCAGGUCGUCUAAGGAGGGGUGAACCGGCCCAGGUCGGAGACGGAGCAGGUCAAAGCCCCCGUGCCGAUCAGUAGCGGGAUCGCGCCUGUGAAUAGACACUGCAGUGCAGCCUGAGCGAUACAGCGAGACUCAGACUUUU
rnacentral:SRP_RNA from 1 species